UGUCGUCAGCUCGUGUUGUGAAAUGUUGGGUUAAGUCCCGCAACGAGCGCAACCCUUAUCCUUUGUUGCCAGCGGUCCGGCCGGGAACUCAAAGGAGACUGCCAGUGAUAAACUGGAGGAAGGUGGGGAUGACGUCAAGUCAUCAUGGCCCUUACGACCAGGGCUACACACGUGCUACAAUGGCGCAUACAAAGAGAAGCGACCUCGCGAGAGCAAGCGGACCUCAUAAAGUGCGUCGUAGUCCGGAUUGGAGUCUGCAACUCGACUCCAUGAAGUCGGAAUCGCUAGUAAUCGUGGAUC
rnacentral:rRNA from 1 species